AUCAAAGAAUCUGGUACGUUGUCAUGAAAGCAAAACAAAAUAAUAACUUUAUUGAAGAAAAUAACUCAUCACCGUAUGAAACCUUCAGCGAGUGCUAAUUAAUUAUGGCGACUCCCAGCUUCAUUAGCCAAAUAAUCCCGGCCUAACUAUUUAUAGCUCAUUAUAUAGAAUCCUACUUUGAUUCGAUUUCAUCUUAACCAUAAUCUAAAUAACCGAAUAUAUCUGAACCAUAAUUUAAAUAACCGAAUAUAAUAAU
rnacentral:lncRNA from 1 species